GUGGGGAAUUUUGGACAAUGGGGGCAACCCUGAUCCAGCAAUGCCGCGUGAGUGAAGAAGGCCUUCGGGUUGUAAAGCUCUUUUGUCAGGGAAGAAAAGGGUCUGGCUAAUAUCUAGGCCUCAUGACGGUACCUGAAGAAUAAGCACCGGCUAACUACGUGCCAGCAGCCGCGGUAAUACGUAGGGUGCAAGCGUUAAUCGGAAUUACUGGGCGUAAAGCGUGCGCAGGCGGUUUUGUAAGACUGUCGUGAAAUCCCCGGGCUCAACCUGGGAAUGGCGAUGGUGACUGCAAGGCUAGAGUUUGGCAGAGGGGGGUAGAAUUCCACGUGUAGCAGUGAAAUGCGUAGAUAUGUGGAGGAACACCGAUGGCGAAGGCAGCCCCCUGGGUCAAAACUGACGCUCAUGCACGAAAGCGUGGGGAGCAAACAGGAUUAGAUACCCCGGUAGUCC
rnacentral:rRNA from 1 species